GCUGGGCAUGGUGGCACGUGCCUGUAAUCCCAGCUACUUGGGAGGCUGAGGCAGGAGAAUCGCUUGAACCCAGGAGGCGGAGGUUGCAGUGAGCUGAGAUCGCACCACUGCACUCCAGCCUGGGCAACAGAGCAAGACCCUGUCUCAA
rnacentral:SRP_RNA from 1 species